GACGAACGCUGGCGGCGUGCNUAAUACAUGCAAGUCGAACGAANUCUGGUAUUGAUUGGUGCUUGCAUCAUGAUUUACAUUUGAGUGAGUGGCGAACUGGUGAGUAACACGUGGGAAACCUGCCCAGAAGCGGGGGAUAACACCUGGAAACAGAUGCUAAUACCGCAUAACAACUUGGACCGCAUGGUCCGAGCUUGAAAGAUGGCUUNGGCUAUCACUUUUGGAUGGUCCCGCGGCGUAUUAGCUAGAUGGUGGGGUAACGGCUCACCAUGGCAAUGAUACGUAGCCGACCUGAGAGGGUAAUCGGCCACAUUGGGACUGAGACACGGCCCAAACUCCUACGGGAGGCAGCAGUAGGGAAUCUUCCACAAUGGACGAAAGUCUGAUGGAGCAACGCCGCGUGAGUGAAGAAGGGUUUCGGCUCGUAAAACUCUGUUGUUAAAGAAGAACAUAUCUGAGAGUAACUGUUCAGGUAUUGACGGUAUUUAACCAGAAAGCCACGGCUAACUACGUGCCAGCAGCCGCGGUAAUACGUAGGUGGCAAGCGUUGUCCGGAUUUAUUGGGCGUAAAGCGAGCGCAGGCGGUUUUUUAAGUCUGAUGUGAAAGCCUUCGGCUCAACCGAAGAAGUGCAUCGGAAACUGGGAAACUUGAGUGCAGAAGAGGACAGUGGAACUCCAUGUGUAGCGGUGAAAUGCGUAGAUAUAUGGAAGAACACCAGUGGCGAAGGCGGCUGUCUGGUCUGUAACUGACGCUGAGGCUCGAAAGUAUGGGUAGCAAACAGGAUUAGAUACCCUGGUAGUCCAUACCGUAAACGAUGAAUGCUAAGUGUUGGAGGGUUUCCGCCCUUCAGUGCUGCAGCUAACGCAUUAAGCAUUCCGCCUGGGGAGUACGGCCGCAAGGCUGAAACUCAAAGGAAUUGACGGGGGCCCGCACAAGCGGUGGAGCAUGUGGUUUAAUUCGAAGCUACGCGAAGAACCUUACCAGGUCUUGACAUACUAUGCAAAUCUAAGAGAUUAGACGUUCCCUUCGGGGACAUGGAUACAGGUGGUGCAUGGUUGUCGUCAGCUCGUGUCGUGAGAUGUUGGGUUAAGUCCCGCAACGAGCGCAACCCUUAUUAUCAGUUGCCAGCAUUAAGUUGGGCACUCUGGUGAGACUGCCGGUGACAAACCGGAGGAAGGUGGGGAUGACGUCAAAUCAUCAUGCCCCUUAUGACCUGGGCUACACACGUGCUACAAUGGAUGGUACAACGAGUUGCGAACUCGCGAGAGUAAGCUAAUCUCUUAAAGCCAUUCUCAGUUCGGAUUGUAGGCUGCAACUCGCCUACAUGAAGUCGGAAUCGCUAGUAAUCGCGGAUCAGCAUGCCGCGGUGAAUACGUUCCCGGGCCUUGUACACACCGCCCGUCACACCAUGAGAGUUUGUAACACCCAAAGUCGGUGGGGUAACCUUUUAGGAACCAGCCGCCUAAGGUGGGACAGAUGAUUAGGGUGAAG
rnacentral:rRNA from 2 species